CGGGUAAGACUAAGCUUUCCCUUCGGGGACAGCGGUGACAGGUGGUGCAUGGUUGUCGUCAGCUCGUGUCGUGAGAUGUUGGGUUAAGUCCCGCAACGAGCGCAACCCUUGAUCUUAGUUGCCAGCAUUCAGUUGGGCACUCUAAGGUGACUGCCGGUGACAAACCGGAGGAAGGUGGGGAUGACGUCAAAUCAUCAUGCCCCUUAUGACCUGGGCUACACACGUGCUACAAUGGACGGUACAAAGGGCUGCCAACCCGCGAGGGGGAGCCAAUCCCAGAAAACCGUUCUCAGUUCGGAUUGCAGGCUGCAACUCGCCUGCAUGAAGCCGGAAUCGCUAGUAAUUGUGGAUCAGCAUUCCACGGUGAAUACGUUCCCGGGCCUUGUACACACCGCCCGUCACACCACGAGAGUUUGUAACACCCGAAGUCGGUGAGGUAACCACUUGUGGAGCCAGCCGCCGAAGGUGGGACGGAUGAUUGGGGUGAAGUCGAAACAAGGUAGCCGUAUCGGAAGGUGCGGCUGGAUCACCCCCGUCGACGCGGCCG
rnacentral:rRNA from 1 species